AGUAACAAUAAAUACAAUAGAUAGAAAUAGAAAUUGAAGUUAGAACUGUGUGGGUGCUGAUCUCAGUAAACAAACCCAAUGACAGCUAACUGGCCAGCAAAUGUCAUUUAAACCAUCUGGAAGAUUGUCUUACCCUCCUCGAAUGUCUUCUUUUCCCUAGCAGAGGGCACCAGGUAACAUAAUACAAUCAUACUGGGUUGUUUACAACAUACUAUAAUGUUGUGGAAAUUUCUGACUUCUGCAAUAAAUGUUUAUACUGCACAUAGUCUAGAUUAUUGUUCUGUGAUAAUCUGCCAAUUCCCUUCCUUUCUCUGAUUGCUGACUCAGCCCCUCUCCAUCUGUUCCUGGUUUGUCGUGCUGGUGUGUGUUUGUGUGUGUGUGUGUGUGUGUACAUGGGAUUCUGAUACUGCCGUCAUGCCGUCAGAUCUGGCUCCUCUCCUUAGUCUGCAUUACAUUGCAGGUGUGCGGGAGGGUCACUUACAUCCUCACCACCAGCCUUUAGUACGUGGUCAGUUGCUCGGGUUUAAUUAAAAAAUCAGCAAAAACCUGCAGCACUUUUCAUUAGACUACUAGUAAAAGUAUAUCUAUAAAUACGAAACCUGUCUGGCGACUGUUACUUUUUAUUAGCAUUUUUUGAAAUAAAAGAAUGAACUAGGAACAUUAAAAAAGAUGUAUACUUUUGAGUUUGUACUGAAAUUUCAUGAAAACAUCAGUUGAUCAAAUUGCGGGAAAAUGUGAUGGAAACGUUAAUAUAAGAAGGAUUAGCCCAACUCAGUCCAUCAUGAAGAUUUCAAAACUGCAUUUAAAACGGGUUUCCCCCCAGGACUGCAUAGAUAUCUGCAUAUCUUGUCGUAUGAGGAGGAGAUACAUAUUUGAUUGUGAAAUUAUAAAAUCUUUUAGCAUUUUAACAAGGCCUUCAAUAGUCUACAAUAGUCUACAACAUUCUAUUAUUACAAAAUAAUAAAAUGCUGCCAUCUACUGGAUAUAAAAUGAAAUAAACCAGCCAGUAGUGGUUCAGUUGGUGAAAUGAAAACAAAAUGUGUGUAGUUUCAGCAAGAAAUGAACAAGGCCACAACCUAUACUUCAGGCACACCCUCACAUAAAAUACAUACUUACUUGCAAGCGCUCACACACACACACACACACACACACACACACACACACACACACACACACACACACACACACACACACACACAGAAUCAGUAAGAAACAGAUUUCUUGCAGUCGUCUUGCAGAAAAAAAGUUUAUCUUUGAGCCUAAGCCUUAAAAACGGUUUACAUUUUUCUUACAAUUAUAGCAAAAAGGAGUCUACCUUGCAGUUUCCAUCAACUGAAAACAAAGAAAUUUAAGUGCUUGGUUUUACAAAUAGCAGGGGGAAAAAAACAAAACAAGAUCAGUUGUAGCUAUGCUAUAACCUAAUAACACUGAUAAAAAACUGUACCAAUAAAGUGCAGGGCAAAACCUUUCAGAUCAUAUUUCCCUAUUAUAAAAGAUGAAUAAUUUGUUUGGAGUCAGGGAUACAUCCCAUGACAGCUUCUCUUGAACAGGAAGUUGAACGGGGCUGUUCAAUGCUGUGCAUGGCAAUAAUUUUUCUUCACCACAAAAUCAACAUUGUCCAGCCAAAAGCACAUGCCGCACUGUACAUGAUCUGAAGGAUAAAACACACUGUAAAAUAAUACAGGGAAACCAAUGAAGCCACAUGUAGAGAGGAGAGUGUCUUUGUUUUUUAGUCACUAUACAGGCAGGCAACAAAAACAAAAACAAAAAAAA